rnacentral:lncRNA from 1 species
GGAAUCAAAGGUAGCGAGUAGCUUUGAACCAGUUAUUCCAUAUGACAAUACCGGUAAGAACACACACAUGAGUACCACGUGUUCUCAAGUUCCUCAUAACUCGCUUAACGCUUUUUAUGGCCUUGCGCUUAUCAUUUUCAACAAUCUUUUAAGAGAGAAACUCCAACUCUCUAUUAAGGCGGCACCACCUUGAAGAUUGUUUAGGU